AGACCGGCAAUCAGUGUAAUUACACUGCACUACUUGGUAAGACACGUCAGUAUGCGCGGGUAUCUCUGGGAUUCAUCAUUUUGUUGAAUUUCAGAAGGAUAGGUAAAGCCGCGGUGUAGGUAGGCACCUAUAAUAAUAGUAUAAUAUUAUGAUCUAAAUUCUAAGGGUUGUAUUUCGAUUCAGUGAAAUCUAUCCGGAUAUUUGUACAUUAAACAAACAAAUUUGGUGGUUCAAUUGGGAAUAAUUCACUCAAUUGACUAAUACGAAUAUGUUUACAGUGGUCUAUCCAUAGAGUAAGAAUUGUAUCACGGAGAGGAUAAUAUAAAAGCGGGUUCCCGCGAACUUAUAAAUGAUCACUACCGGACGGGAAACGAGGCGCGGUAAGUGUCAUCGAACGCUCUUCAAACUAUAGUUACUAUAGCACGCUACGCAUAUACCGUGAAAAAGAGUAAAUUCAUAUUUUUUUUUUUUUUUUUAAGCCGUCCAACGUAUAUAAAUAUUAUGAAUUGGUGUUUCGACGAAAAAGCAUUUAGUCAUCGUUGGGUACUACUCGACGAGCGUGUAUAUAUA